GAUGAACGCUGGCGGCGUGCCUAAUACAUGCAAGUCGAGCGAACAGACGAGGAGCUUGCUCCUCUGACGUUAGCGGCGGACGGGUGAGUAACACGUGGAUAACCUACCUAUAAGACUGGGAUAAAUUCGGGAAACCGGAGCUAAUACCGGAUAAUAUAUUGAACCGCAUGGUUCAAUAGUGAAAGACGGCUUUGCUGUCACUUAUAGAUGGUUCCGCGCCGCAUUAGCUAGUUGGUAAGGUAACGGCGUACCAAGGCAACGAUGCGUAGCCGACCUGAGAGGGUGAUCGGCCACACUGGAACUGAGACACGGUCCAGACUCCUACGGGAGGCAGCAGUAGGGAAUCUUCCGCAAUGGGCGAAAGCCUGACGGAGCAACGCCGCGUGAGUGAUGAAGGUCUUCGGAUCGUAAAACUCUGUUAUUAGGGAAGAACAAAUGUGUAAGUAACUAUGCACGUCUUGACGGUACCUAAUCAGAAAGCCACGGCUAACUACGUG
rnacentral:rRNA from 1 species